rnacentral:rRNA from 1 species
UACGAAGGGGGCUAGCGUUGCUCGGAAUCACUGGGCGUAAAGCGCACGUAGGCGGCUUUUUAAGUCAGAGGGGAAAUCCUGGAGCUCAACUCCAGAACUGCCUUUGAUACUGGAGAGCUUGAGUCCGGGAGAGGUGAGUGGAACUGCGAGUGUAGAGGUGAAAUUCGUAGAUAUUCGCAAGAACACCAGUGGCGAAGGCGGCUCACUGGCCCGGUACUGACGCUGAGGUGCGAAAGCGUGGGGAGCAAACAGG